rnacentral:rRNA from 1 species
GACGAACGCUGGCGGCGUGCCUAAUACAUGCAAGUCGAACGCAGUGGGGACGGGUGAGUAACACGUGGGUAACCUCCCAUCAGAGGGGAUAACACUUGGAAACAGGUGCUAAACCGAUACUGAUGGAUGGACCCGCGGUGCAUUAGCUCGUUGGUGAGGUAACGGCUCACCAAGGCCACGAUGCAUAGCCGACCUGCAAGGGUGAUAAGCCACACUGGCACUGAGACACGGCCCAUACUCCUGCGGGAGGCAGCAGUAGGGAAUCUGCGGCAAUGGACGAAAGUCUGACCGAGAAACGCCGCGUGAGUGAAGAAGGUUUUCGGAUCGUAAAACUCUGUUGUUAGAGAAGCGGUAUCUAACCAGAAAGCCACGGCUAACUACGUGCCAGCGGCCGCGGUAAUUC